ACGGUGAGUUCCCUGCAUGGAGUUCUUCUGUCUGCACACGACAUGACUGACCCCUCUGCUACAGGCCCCUGCUCUGAGCUACUUGUCUGGGUGGGCUGUACUUUUCCUGUUAAUUCACAAAUUCGUCUCUGAUUCUACUUGGCCUUGGGACAGUGGUGUACUGUCCAUAGAGACCAAGGAAGGAGCCACAGAAGCCGUUUCGGUUUGGAUGAGACUUCUUUGAGGCCACGAGCUAGAGAAGCCGUUCGGUGAGCCCUGUGUUUCCACGUUCACAGACUCCACAAUCACACGUGAGGAAACCUCAGCAAUUCUCGGGUCUCCUCCCACAGGAGCAUCUAUGGAAGCCCAGUCACCUAUGGGUGGCCUCUGAGGUGAGACCUUGCGUCAGACGGAUAGAUUUUGAAGGUUCGUCCACGAGCAAAGCCUGGUUGAUGCUCUAUAGCUGCUGAUGUGAGUAGCAAGGCCCCACCCCUGCUAACAAUGCAGAUCAAACCCACUACCGGGUCUGCUGAAGAGGCUGUUUUCCUCCCUCCCUCCCCCUUCCUCCCUUUUUGUUGGUGGCGCUAGGGAACGAUCCAGGGCCCUGAGUUUUUGUCACACACAAGAAAAUAUAAACUAACCCGAUGGUGUCGCCUGCUAAGAGAAUGGAUUGUGAAUCUAUCUCCCAGCACUGCUUAGAAGCACGUUCGUGGGGCUGGAGAGAUGGCUCCGGGGUUAAGAAGGCUUGCUGCUCUUGCAGACCCAUGUUCCGUUCCCUGCACUCACGUGGGGGGUUCACAGUCACCAGUAACCCUAGCUCCAAGAGAUCUAGCACCUUCAUCCGGGAACUGGAGCUAUAGUCAGUUGUGAGUCACCAUGUGGGUGCUGGGAAUCGAACCCAGGUCCUCUGCAAGAACAAUAUGCAAUCUCAACCACUGAGUCAUCUCUCCAGGCCCAUCUAUAUCAUUCUUUAUCCUACAUGAAGGUCCUUUAACUAUCUAAAGAAAUGCUUUACAUUUAUUUUGUAAAAAUUAAUUUUUAUUGUGGAUUGGACGGUCUUGGUCCUGCAUGCUGGACAAGCACUUAGCUGCAUCUCCAGCACAUGGUUAACUUUUCAUUUUGAGAUGGGCUCUCACUAAGCUGCCCAGGCUGACCUGGAACUCACUCUGUAGCCCAGGCUGGCUUUGAACUAUUAUUUUUCCUGCCUAGGCUCAUGAAUAUCUGUGAUUAUAGGACCCUCAAGGAAAGAGAUGGAUAUGAGGAGCCCCCCUCACCUUCCAUAACUGUGGUGCUCCCCCUCCGCAAACUGUGUCUGCACCCCCCAGUCACUGAGUCUAAGAGCCACCUGCUCUGAGAAUUCACUCCUGUGGCUUUUGACUAUCUUGUGGGCAGAGGAAGGGGAAGAAGACCCCAGCCCCUCCCCGUGCAGAACGAGAGUUGUUUUUUCACAUUUUUAGCUCAGCUCUUGAUCACUGAAGAGACGCACAUUGCUUCAGCUGCUUUUGAUCUUGGCUGUGCUUGUGAGUGUCAAAUACUUCUGCUGCCAACAGAGCAAACAAAAGCUCAGACAAUUCCGGGAUCGAGAGAUCAAGUCAAACUCUGGACAGCGGCCUUGCUGCUUAGACUAACAGAACCUGCUACCAGGACACCACAGCCCAGGCUCUCAGAAUUAGGCCUGGAAGUCCCCUCCAUGCUGGAUCAAAUUGUGAUUUUGUCUUUUUGUAGAAGAUGCAGCAUUCAGACCAGGUGUGGUGGCCCUCGCCCGUAAUCCCAACCCUUGGGAGACUGAGGCAGGAGAAUAGGGCAAAUGAGGCUAGCCUGGGCUACAGAGUGAAUUAUAUCAGAAACAAAACAGUGUAAAACGUAAUUGAAAAAAGGAAAAUGAAGUAUUUCGGAAUAGACAUCCCACUGGGGUGGAGAGAUGGGGAGGCUGGAGGCCAGUGCUUGGGAUCAGGCUGGAACCAGUUUGAGCCUGCAGUUUUCAACAUUGUCUGGGAAGUCAGUAGUUGCUGUGAAUGCUCUGUGGAGACUGACGUUUUUACUCUAGUGUAUCCGUUCCUUCUCUCUGCUUCGAUAAAAUACUCAAAAGAAGCAACUUAGUGAGAAAAGAUUUGUAGUGGAUUACACCAGUAAGUGUGGUGGAGAAGGCGGGGUUCACAGUGGCUUCAGGAUGUGGCGGCAGAAAUGCCAGGCCGCUUGCUCACUUUCUGGCAGAUCAGGCUCAUAUUCAAACUACAACACUCGGACAGCUACCCCAGUGGUGGGUGACAUCACCAUCCCCCACUUACAGUUAAGGAAGCUGAGUCACAGAGACGCAAGAUGUCACCACAAGCAAGGAGCAGCUGUUCCUGGUGUAGAGGUCUGGACACCUUGCCUCUUUCCUGCCCAUGGCAGCCCAGUUUCCUGUGUUGGUUGUGUAUUUCCCAUUUCCUCUACCUUAUCUUUCCUUUGGAAAUUCCAUACUAGACCCCAAACCGCUUGAGAGUGGGAAUAAAAUGAAGCCAGCCUACUCCAGGCACUGAGUGCUUUUCAAAUCCCUCGGGACAGGUGACCAGAGCCACUGUCCUCUGACACCUGUGCAGAUCCGGGGUUGGGCAUGCCUGAUGAUGAUGAAGUCAAGGGACAGUCAGCAGACGAAGUUGAAACCGGGGGCCAAUUACCCACGACUCGCUGUGCUACCAGCAUGCAAUUGGGCCAUAAAAGCACGGACGGGAGAGACUUCGAAGCCCUUGCUGUGCACUGAUGCAGAAUGUGGAGGUUUUAGCUUACUUUUCCGCUCGCUCUCACUGGGAACUCCUCAUUCCUCCUGGCACACUGUCAGAUCUCUGUUCUAAUCUCUGUGAACUCCCGAGGUGGCGGUCCUACGGCCUCAGUCACACUCCGAGUGCCCUAAAACAAAUGUGCAAACAGAAGGCUCCAGAAAGCUCAGGCCCCGGCUCUUACAGGAAUCCCAUGCUGGGCUGAUGGGCAUUCCGUCUGGGGCAGGCCGAGGGGGAGCUCGUGCUGUUUGCAGUGCCUUUUUUUGUCAGUGCAACUCAACACAUCUUUCUUUUGGUUGCAGUGAAUCCCAAAAAGCCAGGACAUGUCGUGGUUCUGCUAACAAGUGGUCACAGCACUGUCUCAUUUAUAAUAUCUACAAAACAAUUCUUGGCAUCGGCAGGCCACAGCUAUUGGAGAUCAGAGGGAGGAGGAGGAACAGAUGUGGGCAUUUAUUGAGCCCCUACUGUGUGCCAGGUACUCCUGCUCACCUGGUAGAAACCUCAGGCGUGGUCACACCCAGUUUGCAGAGGUGGAAGGGGAGUUUAGGAAAUUAAAGAUGGGACCCCCCCCAAGUUACACAGCUGGAAGAGAGGCCACCCAAAACUGAGCGCAGAGCCCUUGCUUUCUCCUCAACACCACGAAGCCUGGCAGUUUUCCAGUAAAGCUUUAUGGAUUAUGUGACGUCA